rnacentral:rRNA from 1 species
GGGGUAUACUUCUUCGGGAGUAGAGACCGGCGCACGGGUGCGUAACGCGUAUGCAAUCUACCUUUUACAGAGGGAUAGCCCAGAGAAAUUUGGAUUAAUACCUCAUAGCAUAGCAACUUCGCAUGAAGUCACUAUUAAAGUCACAACGGUAAAAGAUGAGCAUGCGUCCCAUUAGCUAGUUGGUAAGGUAACGGCUUACCAAGGCUACGAUGGGUAGGGGUCCUGAGAGGGAGAUCCCCCACACUGGUACUGAGACACGGACCAGACUCCUACGGGAGGCAGCAGUGAGGAAUAUUGGACAAUGGGCGCAAGCCUGAUCCAGCCAUGCCGCGUGCAGGAUGACGGUCCUAUGGAUUGUAAACUGCUUUUAUACAGGAAGAAACCCUGGUUCGUGAACCAGCUUGACGGUACUGUAAGAAUAAGGAUCGGCUAACUCCGUGCCAGCAGCCGCGGUAAUACGGAGGAUCCAAGCGUUAUCCGGAAUCAUUGGGUUUAAAGGGUCCGUAGGCGGUUUAGUAAGUCAGUGGUGAAAGCCCAUCGCUCAACGGUGGAACGGCCAUUGAUACUGCUAAACUUGAAUUAUUAGGAAGUAACUAGAAUAUGUAGUGUAGCGGUGAAAUGCUUAGAGAUUACAUGGAAUACCAAUUGCGAAGGCAGGUUACUACUAAUAUAUUGACGCUGAUGGACGAAAGCGUGGGUAGCGAACAGGAUUAGAUACCCUGGUAGUCCACGCCGUAAACGAUGGAUACUAGCUGUUGGGAGCAAUCUCAGUGGCUAAGCGAAAGUGAUAAGUAUCCCACCUGGGGAGUACGUUCGCAAGAAUGAAACUCAAAGGAAUUGACGGGGGCCCGCACAAGCGGUGGAGCAUGUGGUUUAAUUCGAUGAUACGCGAGGAACCUUACCAAGGCUUAAAUGUAGUUUGACCGAUUUGGAAACAGAUUUUUCGCAAGACAAAUUACAAGGUGCUGCAUGGUUGUCGUCAGCUCGUGCCGUGAGGUGUCAGGUUAAGUCCUAUAACGAGCGCAACCCCUGUUGUUAGUUGCCAGCGAGUCAUGUCGGGAACUCUAACAAGACUGCCAGUGCAAACUGUGAGGAAGGUGGGGAUGACGUCAAAUCAUCACGGCCCUUACGCCUUGGGCUACACACGUGCUACAAUGGCCGGUACAGAGAGCAGCCACUGGGCGACCAGGAGCGAAUCUAUAAAACCGGUCACAGUUCGGAUCGGAGUCUGCAACUCGACUCCGUAAGCUGGAAUCGCUAGUA